GGAGUUCCCCGGGACUUUGCCCCACGGACGUCGCAGCCCCCCGGAGUGGAGGGGACGCCCCUGCUCUACCGCUGCGACGGGAGCCCGAGCUCAAGAACUGCCUGGAAUCGGCGCCUUUCCCGAAGAAAAGCAAACAGUAACUAACGCGCUCGGGGCCCGCGCAUCCUUCUAGCCCCCUGGGCUCGCAGCCUCCUUCCCAGCCUCCUGCACCCAAACCAACGCUGUGCUUCCAAAGCCUGCCAGAAGCGCCCCAAGGCGCGCGCUUCCCCCCCCUCCUUCCGCCUCCCCUCCCUUCCCCUCGCUAGCUUGGCCGGGUUCACCUCACACUGUCACCAAAUAACCUUAUUACCCCUCAGGACAGUCUUCACGAAAGUUGCUUGCCCUGGCACAGCGUUCUGCGCCCAGCUUGCCACAGGAUUGGGAUCUGCUCCGAAAAAUGCUUGCACCCAGUAAGCCUCUAGGGAAGCAGGGGUGAUAAUGACCACAUCAUUCCACUUAUACUGCGUGGAUAUCACACUCCAAUGGAGAAGCUCCUCCUGUGUGCUCCUGGAGCGCCCAUCCUCUAUCACAAUGAUGAAUGAUCAUGAACUGCUGCAAGAAGAGAUGAAAGCUGUAAUUGUGGGUAGCUAAACUUCCCAGUAUGCCCCUGGCCUUUCGUCACUCUGCAAAGUGACCCUCCUGUUUACGAUGGAACAACAUUCAUCAAGGACUUAGGGGUUAAGGAAUAAAGACAAAAACAAAGAUAAAAAGCUUAUAGAUGAGAAACUAGGCAUGUUUCCAGGGUGGAAGCUGUUUUGGAUGUCAUUAGACCGUCACUGAAGGAGACUUACGCUGGAGAGUUCACAUUUAACGUACAUGCAUCAGAAUUUGUGUGGAAGUUGAAACAGCCCAGGAAAUAUACCUAGAAUGAAGAGAAGGAGGACUGAGAAUGGAUCCUGGGCAACACCCAUAUUUAAGAGGCAGAUGACAAAAGCAAUGCUCCAUCCAGAGAAGAUGCACAACCAGCAGAGCCGGAGUCCAAACCCAAGCCUGUCUCUAUUAAGUGCUCUACUCCUUCUGGGCCUCUUCUACUUCAGACUUAGGUAUAAAUCAAGACCCUCACUUUAACCCCAUUUCUCUGAGCUCAGAUUGAAGCUUCCUAACAUAUGCAUAGAAAAGGAGGGGUGUAGGACAGGAGAAGCAAGGAAGAGUGAAGUAUCAAAUAUUAAACUUAGAAAUUGGGGCACCUGGGUGGCUCAGUUGUUUAAAUGUCUGCCUUUAGCUCAGGUCAUGAUCUCAGGGCCAUGGGAUCGAGCCCUGUUGUAGGGCUCCCUGCUCAGCGGGGAGUCUGCUUCCCCCUCUCCCUCUCCUCUGUGUUCUCUGUCUCUCAAAAU
rnacentral:lncRNA from 1 species